rnacentral:hammerhead_ribozyme from 1 species
AGUUGGCUGACGAGUCCCGAAUAGGAUGAAAUGCGCAUCCUGGUU